rnacentral:rRNA from 1 species
AGAUUGAACGCUGGCGGCAGGCCUAACACAUGCAAGUCGAGCGGUAGAGAGGUGCUUGCAUCUCUUGAGAGCGGCGGACGGGUGAGUAAUGCCUAGGAAUCUGCCUAGUGGUGGGGGAUAACGUUCGGAAACGGACGCUAAUACCGCAUACGUCCUACGGGAGAAAGCGGGGGACCUUCGGGCCUCGCGCCAUUAGAUGAGCCUAGGUCGGAUUAGCUAGUUGGUGAGGUAAUGGCUCACCAAGGCGACGAUCCGUAACUGGUCUGAGAGGAUGAUCAGUCACACUGGAACUGAGACACGGUCCAGACUCCUACGGGAGGCAGCAGUGGGGAAUAUUGGACAAUGGGCGAAAGCCUGAUCCAGCCAUGCCGCGUGUGUGAAGAAGGUCUUCGGAUUGUAAAGCACUUUAAGUUGGAGAAGGUUGUAACCUAAUACGUUGCAACUUUGACGUUACCGACAGAAUAAGCAACCGGCUAACUUCGUGCCAGCAGCCGA